AAGAAAUACACGCAAGGUCCAUUGGUGGAAUACAAGUAACAACAACAACAACAACAACAAAAUAACAACAAACAAUUAACAAACAAGUUUGAAGGAGAGAACAUAAGAGAAAAAAUAUAUGGAAAGAAAGACCAUACAUGGAUAAUUGUUCACUAUAGAUCUUAUGAUGCCAAGACAAAGAACUGGGGAAACAGUGAUGAAGACACUACAUGCUUUGCCCUUAAUUUCUCUCUAUCUGCUUACUGAUCUGUUGUCUCUCUGCUUCUGUCUAUGUGUUCAUAACAGCUAAACCUCCCUCAAGCAACACUGCACCACCUUAGAAAAUGACAUAUACAAUAAUGUAGUUGUGGAUUUAUUUCCUCCACAUAAGAUGGUCAUGGUUAGAAUGCCUCUGAUUAUAGUUUUGUGUAGUUAGAAUUCAUCUGAACUUGAACAGAAACAACUUUCUUCAGUCGUCAUAUAUUUCUUGUCCUUUCUGGAGGGAAACAGUGGACAUGGCUCUCAACUGGAACUCUCAAAAACUUACUCAAGUGAAACAGCAUCAAAGCAACCACAUACUGCAACCAAGGAAGAAGAAUCUAUGCACUAGUUUGACUUGCUAGAAAUAGAAGACAAAUAGGCAUAAAACCAAACACUUUUGUAUUAAAAAGAGAAAAGGCUCAUACAGUUUUUUCUUCAAACUUUCCUCAUGAGUUUUUUACAGUUUGUUUGGAACAGCAAAGAUUCUUGGCCCAUCAAUAUAUCUUGACUUUUUACCAUCAUAUUUUCCAGAUGAUGUGAUGUCGGUAUUUGGAGCUGUUAUAUAAUAGCAGUUUGGGACAUUUAGAAUGAGGUUCUGUUAGCGGUGACGUUAUUGCCAUUCAUCCCAUUGUCUUCUACAUAUGAUGAAAUUGUAGCAACCUAUGCCAACAGCUACUUUGUCCAGGAAGAUGAGACUGUAAAACUUUGAGAUACAAUGAUGAGCCUUGGAACUUUACUCUUUUAAACAAAUGAUAAAAUCUCAAGAAACUGUAGGAAAACCUUUAUACUAUCAGAACAGUUCUAUAUUUAUGUGUGUGCACAUGUGUGUG